CAUUUGGGAUAUGCAUGAGUGCCAUCCCAUGCAUUAGUUUUCAUGAUAGGCCCUUGCCUCCAACGGUCUCCAUUUCAUGAGUGUCAUCUUCCCAUGUUUAUGCUUCUUCCACUGGGAUGAAACUUAAUUUUGACAAACACGGAAUUAAGAACCCUCUAAAUUUAAGAUUUUUGUACCAGUAGAUGUUAAUAAUAAGGUUAUG
rnacentral:lncRNA from 1 species